rnacentral:rRNA from 1 species
GACGAACGCUGGCGGCGUGCUUAACACAUGCAAGUCGAACGGAAAGGCCCUGCUUUUGUGGGGUGCUCGAGUGGCGAACGGGUGAGUAACACGUGAGUAACCUGCCCUUGACUUUGGGAUAACUUCAGGAAACUGGGGCUAAUACCGGAUAGGAGCUCCUGCUGCAUGGUGGGGGUUGGAAAGUUUCGGCGGUUGGGGAUGGACUCGCGGCUUAUCAGCUUGUUGGUGGGGUAGUGGCUUACCAAGGCUUUGCCGGGUAGCCGGCAUGAGAGGGUGACCGGCCACAAUGGGACUGAGAUACGGACCAGACUCCUACGGGAGGCAGCAGUGGAGAAUAUUGCACAAUGGGGGGAAGCCUGAUGCAGCAACGCCGCGUGCGGGAUGACGGCCUUCGGGUUGUAAACCGCUUUCGCCUGUGACGAAGCGUGAGUGACGGUAAUGGGUAAAGAAGCACCGGCUAACUACGUG